GACGAACGCUGGCGGCGUGCUUAACACAUGCAAGUCGAACGGAAAGGCCCUGCUCUUGUGGGGUGCUCGAGUGGCGAACGGGUGAGUAACACGUGAGUAACCUGCCCUUGACUUUGGGAUAACUUCAGGAAACUGGGGCUCAUACCGGAUAGGAGCUCCUGCUGCAUGGUGGGGGUUGGAAAGUUUCGGCGGUUGUGGAUGGACUCGCGGCUUAUCAGCUUGUUGGUGGGGUAGUGGCUUACCAAGGCUUUGACGGGUAGCCGGCCUGAGAGGGUGACCGGCCACAUUGGGACUGAGGUACGGCCCAGAAUCCUACGGGAGGCAACAGGGGGGAAUAUUGCACAAUGGGCGGAAGCCUGAUGCAGCAACGCCGCGUGCGGGAUAACGGCCUUCGGGUUGUAAACCGCUUUCGCCUGUGACGAAGCGUGAGUGACGGUAAUGGGUAAAGAAGCACCGGCUAACUACGUG
rnacentral:rRNA from 1 species